UGGUCGGCACAGACUCGGUGGGCCGAUGGGUCUGUUUCCCCGCUGUAUCUCUAAACUAAACUCUAAACUCAGCUAAAAAUAAAAUCCUGUGUCUAAUAAAGUUUGCAGAAGCACUGGGCCAACACACAUAAUAGUCCAGAAACAGAUUGCUCAUCCCACUCACUUGUGCCAAACCUUAAAGAAAGCUAUUCAAUUGAGAGCCCUUUCCCCUGAGCUUUCCCUGGGAAAAUAAAAUGGGAAGCAUCUUUGACCUGAAACAUCCUGAAUGGUUCCAGCAUUUUGUUUUUCCUUCCAUUAUUUUACAGCACAAACUAACGCAAAUGUGCAAGUACUUUAGUUUUGUUAUUAUUAACAUCAGGGAUGGGCAACUAGGGAACAUGUGAGGGUCAGUUGAGUGGUCAAUCCUCAGGCUUCUCAAAUUUCUCCUUUCCGCCGUUGACCAUCUGAAGGUGGUCCACCAGGUCCAAUCAUAAUGUGACGCGGCUGGUUGACUAAGGAAAGCGGCGGAGAACUUUGGGUGUCAUUCUUCAUUGCGUACGCAUUGGAGCAGAAGGCGUUGACCUCCGACCUGGUGCUUCAGUAGAACACACGCCCAGCUGUUUCCCGACUUGCACAGCUGCAUGUUGUAAAGCAGAAGUUAUAAAAGCGCUGAUGAGGUGGGUCGAAACUGUAUCUCCCACUCCCCCAUCUGACUUCCCACUUCCAAGAUGCAAGAGAGAUGCAAGGGCGACCACAGUGGUGCAGUGGUAGAGUUGCUGCCUUACAGCGCAUGCAGCGCCGGAGACCCGGGUUCGAUCCCGACUACGGGUGCUGUCUGGACGGAGUUUGCACGUUCUCCCCGUGACAGCGUGGGUUUUCUCAAAGAUCUUCAGUUUCCUUCCACACUCCAAAGACGUACAGAAGCUGCCUGACCCCCUGAACAAUUCCAGCAUUUUUUUUGCUUUGAUAUGUAAAAAGGAAGAACUGGGUUUGCUGUGGAAUGAAACACCUUCUCUGCACUCUCCUGAGUUCAAAUCGUGUAAAGCAGUAUUCGGCUGCAGUAACGUCAAAGGCUUUCAUGUUUAAUUCCAUCGGAUUCCCACCAGCUGAGCAAAGUUUGGAAAGAAAUGUGAGGAGAAAGAUCAACUGGUGCUUGGCUUUGAGUAAAUUCAAUUCCAAUUAACUUUGGCCUUAAAAAUAAAAGCAUUGCCAACUAUUUGUUUAAAGUAUUUUGACCCACAAAGUUUCAAACAUGUAGUAACACUGCAUGGUUAAAAUCGUGCAUUCCUGUGGUAAGGCAUCACUGUGAUUAUGUCUGAGUUAUUUCCAGUCCCUCUUUAGAUUCAACUAUGGGCUUCCUGGUGUGAACUGGUGUUGACAUAAUUUGGGCAUCGUAUGCGUGUCAAGUGUUGUAAUUCCCCACUCUUUGGAUAAAUUAGUGCUUACCUGGAGGAUCUCUAGCACCAGUCAUGCGAUCACUAACUCACUUUCUAAAUCUCUGGUCAUCAAUAUCCGUCCUUAAAUAAGGACGCCAAAUCUGUGUGUGGUUUUCCAGGUGUGGUCUGAUCAACACCUUGUCUGAUUGCAAAAAUACUUCCUUCCUUCUAGACCCCAUUCCCUUUCGAAUAAAGGCCAGGUCAAUUAACUCACAAACCUGCAUAGCUCCGGGAUGUGGGAGGAAUCUGUAGCACUUGAAUGAAGCCUACGUGGUUACAGAGAGAAUAUGAAAACUCCACAUGGGCAGCACCAUAGAUCAGGAUUGACUCAAGGUACAUGGUACUGUGAGGCAGUCCCUCUAUUAGUUAUGCCACUGUGCCGCUCUGUUACACUUAGUGUGCUAUGCUCCAUGUCCAAGGCCACCCAGAUUACUCUGUACAGUAGAUUUUGUAACGUUGCUUCAUUGAAAUGAUAUUCUUCCUAUCAACAUGAAUGAAUUCAUGUCUCCCUGCAGAAUACUCCAGCUGACAUGGGCCUUGACUUCUCCCCACGGAUACCCUGUUAAACAUAACUUGCGUUCCCACCUGUCUUUGUAUUGGACCAUUUGUCCACAGUACAUGAGAACAUAAGCAAAGAGAGAUAGGUUUGUCAGGUACAGAAAUUUGGCCCACCUUGUCCACGCCAAAAAGCUGGCAUUCUGUGCCAAUCACAUGUGCCUGUAUUUGGCAAUACCCCUCUAAAGUAUUUCUAUCCAUAGAUCCACCCAUCAGAUAUCCCAUGCAUAAAGCUAUGCUGACUGUCCCUAAUCAGUUCAUUAAGGGUUAAGCCUUUCAUCCCUUUGAGCUCGCUUUGCCAUUCCAUAAUUAUUCAUGUGCAUAAUUUAAUGUGCUUCCUCGGUACCUCUCUCAUAACUUCAUAUGAUAGGUGCAGAAUUAUGCCAGUUAGCCCAUCGAUUCUACUCUGCCAUUCAAUCAUGGCUGAUCUAUCUUUUCUUCUCACCCAUUCUCCUGCCUUCUACCCAUAACUGACACCUUUACUAACCAAGAGCAUGUCAAUCUUUAAGACUUGGCUUCACAGCCGUCUGUGGCAAGGAAUUCCACAAAUUCACCACGGUCUGGCUAAAAGAAAUCCUCCUCAAAUCCUUUCUAAAGGUAUAUCAUUUUAUUCUAAGGCUGUGCCUUUUGCCCCUAGACUCUCCCACUAGUGGAAACAUCUCCUCCACAUUCACUCUAUCCAAGCCUUCCAUUAUGUUAAUGAGGUCCCCUCUCCCCUCUUCCAUCCCCUCGUCCCUUCGUUUCCCUUGCAACCAAAGAGAGCCAUAAAUCCCUUCCUUGAGUACACUCAAUGAGUGAGCAGCAAUAGCCCUCUUAGAAGAAGAAUUAUGUUUUAAAAAUAUAUCUUUCUCUACACCCAAAUCAUUGUUGUACGCAUGUAGGAAGGAACUGCAGAUGUUGGUUUAAACCGAACAUUGAU